ensembl:lncRNA
AGCUGAUUCAGUUCAGCUGGGUGUUACAAGCUGACCAUUAGUUAAUCCACCACAAGAAUUCUUUAUCUUUGCCCACUUUGAGGGGGCUCCAAGCCAAUCCUCAGGCCAGCCAGAAGGGCAAAGGGCCAGAACUCCCAAGUCCAUGCUGCAGCAGCCCCUUCUGUCUUCAGUUGUUUCCUGUACCUGCAGAGCCUCCUGUGUGUCAAGUGUGAAAUCAAAUGGCCUCGUUGCAUCUCCACAGCACUCUGAUGCAGAUGAAUCUGCAGCGCCCUUCCAAAGUACACGUGCAUGAACGUGAUGGAAUGCACAGUGCAGACACAACGUAUAUGUGUAUCAACUGAUGAAGAGAUAAACAACAAACAGUUUAUCCAUUCAAUGGAAUAUUAUUCAACCAUAAAAAGGAUGUAGGACUGAUACAUGUACAUGAAUAGACCUUGAAGACCUUAUGCUAACUGAAAGAAACCAGUCACAAAAGCUUGAACUCCAGUCCCUGACCUCCUGAUGACUUGAACACAGUUCCCACACUGAGGCACCAGAAGCCACUAGAUGGAGUCUGCCCACAGCGGUUCUGAGUUCUGAGCUCAGUUGGCCCCUCUCCAAGAUGGCUACCAGCCAGUCAUCCUCUCCUGUGUGAGGGCUGAAUCCAGAUAACUCACCCGCCACUGCAGUCCGAUGUGUCCACUGCUCCAUUCCGCUGGUAUGAGACAGCAGAGGUGUUGACCAACCUACCAACUGCCUGGAUCAUGGAGAAGGCCUAUGCCCAGGGAGAGAAGUGCCCUAACAACCCAAUCCCAGAAGAAACUAUGAAGAGGUUAUCAGGAGAGACACAGCAAGCCUUCCAGCGGGAGCUCCAAGACACCAUUUGUUCCCUAGAGGAAGCCAGAGUUGUAUUCCUUCUCACUGGAUCUGGUGCCUUAGGACAUACAGCACUUUCCCACAGUCAGGGCCCACCUAACAUCGUGGGAUGUCCCACAACAUCAGUAACUGAACCAAAUACUGCAAUCACAUAAGCUGCACUGACUAAGGAUGGUGGACACAAGUCUCAGAAAAAGGGGUAGCACAUUAUCACUAGGCAGUCCAGGUAUGGUAAUCAAGAAAUACAGCCUGUUCGAAGGCUGGACAGCAAAGAGAAGUGUCAGUCAAAGCAUUUAAAGGGAGGCUUCUCAAGCCCAGCUUGAACACGCAGUGUUAUGUCCUCAUGCGUGACAUAGGCCUGUUCCGUUUCAGGACUGCUGUCUGUCCUCCUCACCAUGCACAGGGGACAGCUCUGACUCUGUGAGCCUUGGGCUCCUUUUCUUUUUUAUAGUUUUGAAACAAAAUUGAG